rnacentral:rRNA from 1 species
UACGUGAGGGGCGAACGUUGUUCGGUGUCACUAGGCUUAAAGGGUGCGUAGGUGAUUUCGUAAGUAAGGUGUGAAAGCCCUCGACUUACCCGGGGAAUUACGCCUUAUACUGCGAGACUUGAGGAUUUCAGGGGAAUGAGGAACUCCAAGUGUAACGGUGAAAUGCGCAGAUAUCUGGGGGAAGACCGGCGGCGAAGGCGCCAUUCUGGGAAAUUCCUGACACUGAGGCACGAAAGCGUGGGGAGCAAACAGG